CAUCGUUCUAAACCAAUUACACACGAGCUUGGGCGUGCCUUCUGAGCUAUUGGCCAAUCAGCUAGCAAGAUGGGCGGGAGCUGGAGCCUGUUCGUGCCCGCAACCGAUCCAUGGCGCAUCAAGCGGGCAUGACUGGAGAGGUUUCACGGCCGUCACUACGAGGGGAAGUCAGCAAUUGGUGCAUUUAAGGGGCAUUCGGAGGAUUUACUGACUUCGGGAGACGGCUCAAACUUGGACCUUCGUUUUAAAAAGUGAAGUGGCUUUAGACGGCGAGCUGAACCUGAGUUUCCGGUCGGUCCAGGUGAGCCUCUCCUGGGGGCGGAGCUCUUCCUGUUUGGGAAGAUUUCAGUGAAGCGUUUGUGUGCGGUCACACAGAGCUGUGGAGACCUGGAUGCCACAGUGGGAGUGUCUGCUGCAAGUGAAGCCUUUAUCACGCGCUGGAGACAUGAGUGCUGCUGUGAAGAGAGGAGCUAACGGGACCCCGCGGCCUCACUGUUCAGCCGAUUGACUUUGACUGGGCGGAUGUUGCAGAUGCAGAGGCUCAGAGGCAGCAGGUGUUUACUGCGCUCCAUCAAAACCACAGGCUGACAACAUACUCG
rnacentral:lncRNA from 1 species